rnacentral:rRNA from 1 species
AGUGAACGCUGGCGGUAGGCCUAACACAUGCAAGUCGAACGGCAGCACAGGAGAGCUUGCUCUCUGGGUGGCGAGUGGCGGACGGGUGAGGAAUACAUCGGAAUCUACUCUGUCGUGGGGGAUAACGUAGGGAAACUUACGCUAAUACCGCAUACGACCUACGGGUGAAAGUGGGGGACCGCAAGGCCUCACGCGAUUGAAUGAGCCGAUGUCGGAUUAGCUAGUUGGCGGGGUAAAGGCCCACCAAGGCGACGAUCCGUAGCUGGUCUGAGAGGAUGAUCAGCCACACUGGAACUGAGACACGGUCCAGACUCCUACGGGAGGCAGCAGUGGGGAAUAUUGGACAAUGGGCGCAAGCCUGAUCCAGCCAUACCGCGUGAGUGAAGAAGGCCCUCGGGUUGUAAAGCUCUUUUGUUGGGAAAGAAAUCCUGCCGGUUAAUACCUGGCAGGGAUGACGGUACCCAAAGAAUAAGCACCGGCUAACUUCGUGCCAGCAGCCGAC